UAGAAUAAUUAUAUAUAUAAUUUAAAGUUUCAUCUUCAGGUAUAUUAACCUGUCAAUAUUUUCUAUUAGAUUUCUGUUUUUCCUGUCCUGCUUUCAAAUGCACUGUCUUUCCUUGUUCUGCCAAUUGAGUUAGAAAAUAUCCAAGCCAAAAUGACAAGAUUACACAAGAUGAUUCAUGUGUAGUUCAAUGGUUUGAGACAGGGGUGUUUUUGUAACUUGUGAACUCCAAAGAUAUUUUCAGCCAUGAUGGAU
rnacentral:lncRNA from 10 species